rnacentral:lncRNA from 1 species
CUCUGCUCGUCAUUUUAAAAAUUUCUUGGUGGGUGGCACCUUUCAUGAACCUCAUCAUCGCCUCGUGCAUUAACUGUGUGUAAGCUGGUGAAAAUAACGGUCGGAAUCUUCGUUGAAAGUCGUCCUGGCCUCUCAAUACAUGGGCAAGUACUCAAAUGUCUACGUUUCCUUACCUAAAGCAGUUACAGAUCGCUUACAGUUCUUUUUCUUUAACUUUCCCAUCAAGGUCUGCUAUGGAUUAUUUUAUCAACCCUCCUGUGGUUAGGGGUUCGAGGCGAUGAGGCGGCUCCCCUCUCUUCCGGACCAUGCAACGAAAUUAAGUUCAAGAACGGGGACAUUGUUACAUUCUCAUCCGUAUGGUCGAAAACAAGCGUAAAAGCUGAACCGAGGCAUUGGCUUUUUGCCCUCACGGACAUGCAUUUGUGGCACAUAGCCAAGGACUUCUAUUUUUUCCCCCAGAAAGGAUUUGUAGACAUUAUGAAGCCAGAGGACCGCAUGUCAGGGAAACGAACCUGUGUCGUCCGCCGGCGAGUUGAGGGGCGCCCCUACACUGGUAAUGCAGGCAAACUUCUUGCGAUGAGAAUGCGUUACAUGCCUGUAGUAUUCAACUUUCUCACCUGCAGCUGUCGUCACUACAUGGACUACAUUGUGUACGGGCGGAGCUACGGCGAUUAUCGGACGUGGCACUACCUGCCGGCCAGCAACGACUGCCCCGUCCAUCGGCAUUUUGACAGCGAGACAGACGUCACUUCAGCGGACUUCAAACUCGCUCGCAAAGACGCAAGAGGGAACCUUAGGUCCGUGGAGUGGCCCACGGGAUGGACUCAGGAACGGAUGGAGGAAGUGCUCUCCGGGUCCGCCGGGUCCCGGCUCUGCCCGCUAGCACCCACCAUCGAGGCCGCCAUCGCCCUCGUGAAAAAUGUUUGGGAGAAGAAGGUAUCUCAAAUCAAAAACAUGGGGAUCUUCUCCUGUUUCAUGGACCCCCGGGAAAAUAAUGUGAAAGGCGAACCAGAAUUAACCUACCCCUAA